rnacentral:snoRNA from 1 species
UCGCCGUGAUGACACAUUUCAUGGACUAGAGUUUCUGAUCUUAUGUUGACGACAAACCCUUGGCUGUCUGAGCGA